AUGGAUAUCUACCGUAGAAGGAGGUUGCACAUGAGAAUAGACUAAUGUUGAGCUAAUUACUGGUAAGGUAAUAACUGAAGUGGAAGGAGGAAUAUGGUUUGCAACAGGUAAAGUUAUUAUUUUUAUUAUAGUUAUAGUUAUAGUUUAAAUAUCUAAUGGUUUAUCAUAAGAUAUCUAUUGGUUAAUUAGCAUGUUGUAUAAAUACUGGAUCAGUGGUUUAUGAAAACUUAUGAUAUUUCCCCAGAAUAAUGAUAUUUCUACAUUUAUGAUGCAAAAUUUGAACCUCAAAUAUAUAGUCAAAUAUCUUGAUCCUUAAAGACAAAGAACGAUUUUCAUAUAAUCAUUGAGUCUUUGAUAAACUUGAAUUACUUGGCUGCACAGUGAUUACAAGGGGUAUUUUGGUCAUAGUGCAGGUUGCUAUUUUGUUCAUUUUAGGUUCCGUUUUAUCUAUGGAAUGGUGAGUGAUGGGUUAUUUGUUGGUUUACGGAUCAAGUUGUAAAUGGGUUUGGUUCAAUUAAUUUCAGUCAUACUAGAACUUGCAUUAUGUUUAAUUCUGGAUGUUUUGUUUAAUU
rnacentral:lncRNA from 1 species